AACGCACCUUGCACUCUUGGGUAUUCCUGAGAGUAUGUCUGUUUGAGUGUCGUGAACCUCUCAAAACCCCCUUUUGUUUUAUUACAAAGGCGUUUGGGCUUUGGAUGUUGAUCGUUUGCCGUUUUUACUAAUGGCUCGGUCGAAAUAUAAUAGCUGAAGCUAAUGAUUGCAUUAGUUCGAGCUUGGAAUAUGGCGUGAUAAUUAUUUCGCUAUUGCACAGGUUUGAAUGCGAUUUUAAAGCGGGCUUAUAAACCACAUCUUAUCAUUAGACCUCAAAUCAGGCAGGACUACCCGCUGAACUUAA
rnacentral:misc_RNA from 1 species